rnacentral:rRNA from 1 species
AGCAGCCGCGGUAAUUCCAGCUCCAAUAGCGUAUAUUAAAGUUGUUGCAGUUAAAAAGCUCGUAGUUGAAUUUCGGGACCAAUCUGCCGGUCGUGCCUCCGGUACGCACUGGUUUUAUUGGUUUCUCCCUUCUGACGAACCAUGAUGUCAUUAAUUCGGUGUCAUGGGGAAUCAGGACUGUUACUUUGAAAAAAUUAGAGUGUCUAUAGCAGGCUCACGCUUGAAUACAUUAGCAUGGAAUAAUGAAAUAGGACGUUUGACCCUAUUUUGUUGGUUUCUAGGAUCGACGUAAUGAUUAAUAGGGAUAGUUGGGGGCAUUAGUAUUCAAUUGUCAGAGGUGAAAUUCUUGGAUUUAUUGAAGACUAACUACUGCGAAAGCAUUUGCCAAGGAUGUUUUCAUUAAUCAAGAACGAAAGUUGGGGAUCAAGACGAUCAGAUACCGUCGUAGUCUUAACCAUAAACUAUGCCGACUAGGGGAUCGGAUGAUGUUAAUUUUUUUCAAUGGCUCAUUCGGCGCCUU